rnacentral:rRNA from 1 species
GACGAACGCUGGCGGCGUGCUUAACACAUGCAAGUCGAACGGAAAGGCCCUGCUUGCAGGGUACUCGAGUGGCGAACGGGUGAGUAACACGUGGGUGAUCUGCCCUGCACUUCGGGAUAAGCCUGGGAAACUGGGUCUAAUACCGGAUAGGAGCCAUUUUUAGUGUGAUGGUUGGAAAGUUUUUUCGGUGUAGGAUGAGCUCGCGGCCUAUCAGCUUGUUGGUGGGGUAAUGGCCUACCAAGGCGGCGACGGGUAGCCGGCCUGGGAGGGUGGACGGCCAAAUUGGGACUGGGGUAAGGCCCAGACCCCUACGGGGGGCAGGCGUGGGGGAAAUUGGACAAUGGGGGGAAGCCUGAUGCAACGACGCCGGGUGGGGGAUGACGGGCUUCGGGUUGUAAACCCCCUUCGCCAGGGGAGAAGGCUUUUGUGACGGUAACUAGAUAAGAAGCACCGGCUAACUACGUG